AAUUGGUGUCGCCCAUAAGGCGACUAAAGGGAAACGGGUGCGACUCCCGUACAGUCCCGCUGCUGUGUGUUUCAGCCCAAUUUUCCGGCACUGACAGGCGGAAGAGUCUGCCGAUGCGUCAAGUCACUGGGGUUAUCUCCGCCCCGGGAAGGCGCCGGAAAAUGAAACGAGUCAGAAGACCUGCCUUUUC
rnacentral:ncRNA from 1 species